rnacentral:rRNA from 1 species
UACGGAGGGUGCAAGCGUUAUCCGGAUUUACUGGGUUUAAAGGGUGCGCAGGCGGAUGUGUAAGUCAGUGGUGAAAUCUCUAGGCUUAACCUGGAAAUUGCCGUUGAUACUAUAUAUCUUGAAUGUUGUGGAGGUAAGCAGAAUAUGUCAUGUAGCGGUGAAAUGCUUAGAUAUGACAUAGAAUACCUAUUGCGAAGGCAGCUUACUACGGGAUUAUUGACACUGAGGCACGAAAGCGUGGGGAUCAAACAGG